AACGCAAAUUGCACUUCUUUCCGAGAAGUAUACUUGCUUGAGGGUUGGUCUACAAAAAAUCGUAAAUUCUUUUACGGAUCUGGGCUUUCCGAGUUUUCCGACUUCGGUUGCCUAAAAUUUAUCUUAACAAUGAGGUGUUAAUUAGAAAUGUUCUAUCUUGCACAUUGUAAGUUCAUUAAUAAUUAUGCCAACUGUUAUAUCGCGUUAUUCAUCUAGUAUCUUUGAUUAGGUGAAGUAACUCAAUUUUUUUAAUCCUACCUCAAGUCAAGUAAGGAUACCCGCUGAACUUAA
rnacentral:misc_RNA from 1 species